rnacentral:pre_miRNA from 2 species
GUUGAUGGGAAUGUUGUUUGGCUCGAGGAAUCUGCAUGAGGGUGAGGUGGUUUUGCCUUUGUUCAUCUUUUGAAGCUUAUAAUUUCUGGGUUCAAUCUUUUUGAACCUUUGAAAGGAAGAAAAGCUUUAAAGAUUGGAUUUUGAGGCUACCCAUCGAUCGUGUGAUAUCUCGGACCAGGCUUCAUUCCCGUUAAC